UACGAAGGGGCUAGCGUUGCUCGGAAUGACUGGGCGUAAAGGGCGCGUAGGCGGCGAUCAAAGUCAGGCGUGAAAUUCCUGGGCUCAACCUGGGGGCUGCGCUUGAUACUUGGUUGCUUGAGUGGGGAAGAGGGUCGUGGAAUUCCCAGUGUAGAGGUGAAAUUCGUAGAUAUUCGCAAGAACACCAGUGGCGAAGGCGGCUCACUGGCCCGAUACUGGACGCUGAGGUGACGAAAGCGUGGGGAGCAAACAGG
rnacentral:rRNA from 1 species